UACGUAGGGUGCGAGCGUUAAUCGGAAUUACUGGGCGUAAAGCGUGCGCAGGCGGUUGUGUAAGACAGGUGUGAAAUCCCCGGGCUUAACCUGGGAACUGCGCUUGUGACUGCACAACUAGAGUACGGCAGAGGGGGGUGGAAUUCCACGUGUAGCAGUGAAAUGCGUAGAUAUGUGGAGGAACACCGAUGGCGAAGGCAGCCCCCUGGGCCUGUACUGACGCUCAUGCACGAAAGCGUGGGGAGCAAACAGG
rnacentral:rRNA from 1 species